CUAUCAGUUAGGGAUGCUAUCUUCCUCUUUUCCAAACCCACCAUAGUCCAUGAAAUGAAGUGUUACAACAGCAGCAAAAUGAUACUGAAAGGUGUUGUGGUUUCGCAGAGAGCCUUGCAUAUGAGCAACCCAUUUCCAUUUCAUUACAAACCAUGUCAUUGCUUAAAGAAGCCUUGGAACUCAGAUGUUGGAUAAUAACAUCAUUGGGGAUAUAAGAGCUACAAAAGUGCCACCUGAGUGGAAGUAGACAUCACAAAAGUCUGGAGUAGGAAAGCAGAAAAAGCAGGUCACGUUGGCCUUUAAACCCUCGGUGAACUACGAUCACAAGGGUUAAAUUCUCAAGCAUAUCACGUUGCCAUCUGAAUUGUACGAUGCAGUCUAUAUACC